GGGCGAGUGGCGGAACUGGUAGACGCGCACGGUUCAGAGCCGUGUGGGAGCAAUCUCGUGGAGGUUCAAGUCCUCUCUCGCCCACCA
rnacentral:tRNA from 1 species